rnacentral:rRNA from 1 species
CCUACGGGAGGCUGCAGUGAGGAAUAUUGGUCAAUGGCCGCAGGGCUGAACCAGCCAAGUCGCGUGAGGGAUGACGGUCCUAUGGAUUGUAAACUUCUUUUGUCAGGGAGCAAAGGGCGCCACGUGUGGCGCUUUGCGAGCACCUGAAUAAAAAGCAUCGGCUAACUCCGUGCCAGCAGCCGCGGUAAUACGGAGGAUGCGAGCGUUAUCCGGAUUUAUUGGGGUGAAAGGGUGCGCAGGCGGAAUGCCAAGUCAGCGGUAAAAUUUCGGGGCUCAACCCCGUCGUGCCGUUGAAACUGGCGUUCUUGAGUGAGCGAGAGGUAUGCGGAAUGCGUGGUGUAGCGGUGAAAUGCAUAGAUAUCACGCAGAACUCCGAUUGCGAAGGCAGCAUACCGGCGCUCAACUGACGCUCAUGCACGAAAGCGUGGGUAUCGAACAGGAUUAGAUACCCCUGUAGUC